UCCAGACUCCUACGGGAGGCAGCAGUGAGGAAUAUUGGUCAAUGGGCGCGAGCCUGAACCAGCCAAGUCGCGUGAGGGAAGACGGUCCUAUGGAUUGUAAACCUCUUUUGUCGGGGAGCAAAAGACGCCACGCGUGGCGUUCCGAGAGUACCCGAAGAAAAAGCAUCGGCUAACUCCGUGCCAGCAGCCGCGGUAAUACGGAGGAUGCGAGCGUUAUCCGGAUUUAUUGGGUUUAAAGGGUGCGCAGGCGGAGGUGCAAGUCAGCGGUCAAAUUGCGGGGCUCAACCCCGUACUGCCGUUGAAACUGCAUCCCUUGAGUGCGCGAGAAGUAUGCGGAAUGCGUGGUGUAGCGGUGAAAUGCAUAGAUAUCACGCAGAACUCCGAUUGCGAAGGCAGCUUACUAAACUGUGACUGACAUUGAUGCUCGAAAGUGUGGGUAUCAAACAGGAUUAGAUACCCUUGUA
rnacentral:rRNA from 1 species